CUAGGAAAGAGAUCUCAAAGAGAUUACAAAGAAAAUCUCCCAUAAGCACAAAAGGGCCAUCCAAAACGAAAUAGAGAGAAGAAGAGCAUCCAAGUGAAUUCGAAAGCUUCCUCUCCAUCCGUGUGCUGCCUCGGGGAUCCUCUACUUCAUGCCAAAUCAGAGGAGGAUCAAGUAAAGAAGAAGCCGAGCUCCUCCAUCUUCAAAACUCGUUUGAGGGCUUCUCUUUACUCUAUUUGUUUAUAUUGUCAUAUUUGCUUGUUUAAGAAGCUUUGUUUUGUUUUAUACUUUGUUUUAAUAUCUUGUAACUUGAUUCAAUCAAGGGAUUGAAUCAAGGAGUUAAGGUUUGUUGGUGAGCCAAAGAAAAACCAACGGUGUUAAGGUUUGUUGGUGAGCCAAAGGGAAAAACCAACGGUGAUAGGUUUGUUGGUGAGCCGAGGGUAAAACCAACGUGUAAGGGUUUGAUUGUGAGCCCGGAAAAACAAUCGGGGUUGGUUCUAGUCGGUGAGCCUGGGAAAACCAACCGAGUUCGUUGUGCGCUCGUAAAA
rnacentral:lncRNA from 1 species